CACUAACCAUACAGGUACUGCCGAAUUCUUCCCUUAAGGUAUGAAAGAGAAUAGACUAACUAGGUAGCCAAUUCAAAACAUAUAUUGUACCCUCUAGUUUGUUUAGCGAUUGAUAGCAUGAAUUCAUGUUUUCGCCAUGUCCCAAAAAACGUUCCACUGACACUCGCGAAUAAGGCCAAAUUUGAUUAAAUGAAUCAUAUGAAUCCUUUAAAAAAAAGUUAAACGAUACGAAUGAUUCACUUUGCCAUUAUUUUAGUUGGGAUCCAGAUCAAUCGUGGUGAAUCGAAUCAUGUGAAUCAUUAACAUUUUCAUUUUAGGAAAAACGAUUAGAUGUAGCCUUUCUUUUGGAUAAUGUGGCUUCAGCACUUGAUUUGUAGAUACCUCCAAUUUAUUUGGGCAUUCAAUGUAUGGGACAUUGCUACUCAAUAGAUGUUAGUCAGGCUCCAAAGUAAACACUUCUAAGGUAGCUAAAAUAAAUAAUUGGAAAAGGAGAGCCGCACACUAGGAGCUCAGAUGCAAUUUAACGUUUUGACAGCCAAACUGUCUCCAUCAGGGUACAUCAGGAUAAAUAUGACUAAACUAGAAAAAGGUACAUUUCCCGAAGAAAUAGUAACAUUCACCUUUGCUUUCCUCACCCUUGUUAUGUUGCGUUUUGUUUAUUUCUUUUGUCGAAUCAUUUUGUGAAAUAUUAUUAUUGGGGGGGAAAAACAACCUCCCCGGGUGUUUUUAACUUGAUUUGAAUAUGCUAAUUUCUCUCUGGAUUUGUUUUUCUGUUUUUUUCACCUUCUUCCUGUGUCACUUGAUUGUCUGUUUUCGUAUGUACUAUACCUGUUGGGUUUAUUUGGGUUCAGUCCUUGCGAAACAAAUCAUUUAUUUAGACUUGAAGGUUUUAGCCCCUAUAAUGCGUUGUUGCUGAAUUGUGCAGAAUAAUUUAUUUCUUAUUAAUGAAUAUUUCCCUGCUGUAACUUAUAUUUAAGAAAAUUCUGUGAGUUAGGUGGUCUCUAACCAAAGUGUGCUAUUGUAAAAAAAGACUGAUGCAUACUUAUUUGUAUCGUCUGUUCGUUUUGUCGCUUUUUAGUGACGCAAAGCGUAAACAACAGAAGUGGUUUUUAUUUCGUUAAUCUUUUCACACACAACGGAUCAAAGAUCCGGCGUCGUCCGGGUUUGGCCGGCGUAAGCCGUCAUUGAUACAUGUUAACACUGCAGCAUCAAGAUGUCGUACAUGCUGCCGCAUCUCCACAGCGGCUGGCAGGUCGACCAAGCCAUUCUAUCCGAGGAGGACAGAGUCCUGGUUAUUAGGUUUAGCCACGAAUUGGGACCCAACGUGUAUGAAAAUGGACGAGGUGUUGUACAGCGUAGCUGAAAAGGUGAAAAACUUUGCAGUCAUCUAUUUGGUGGACAUCACAGCGGUGCCGGACUUCAACAAGAUGUACGAGAUGUA